rnacentral:rRNA from 1 species
GAUCAUGGCUCAGGAUGAACGCUGGCGGCGUGCCUAACACAUGCAAGUCGAGCGAUCUCUUCGGAGAGAGCGGCGGACGGGUGAGUAACGCGUGGGUAACCUGCCCUGUACACACGGAUAACAUACCGAAAGGUAUGCUAAUACGGGAUAAUAUAUAAGAGUCGCAUGACUUUUAUAUCAAAGAUUUUUCGGUACAGGAUGGACCCGCGUCUGAUUAGCUUGUUGGCGGGGUAACGGCCCACAAGG